rnacentral:misc_RNA from 1 species
AAAAAUUCCUUUCCUUGGGGGAUGGAGAAUAACCGACAGACACCGCUAAUCGAAUCCUAAACCAGUUCGAACUUGAAUUUUGCCUCCCUCUUAUAUAAAUUUCUGCUCCUUCGCUACCAACUCCAUAGGAAAAAAAAUCUAUAGCAAAUAUGGAGGCGGCUGGAAUAGUUUCCUCCCCUGUUCUUCGCUUCUCCGACGCCGGAGU